UUAUCAAUGGUGCGAUGACAGGGUAAUUGUUUGUUUUGUUCAUUAAAAAAAAGUGAGAGGAAGAAAACGUUGCUCCACAUGGAUCACUAACCGGGUACGCGCGCGACAAUCACAUUGACAACCGAGAUGAGGGGAGGAAAAACUAGGCCUACCAUGUGACUGAAAUAGUGUAUGUACAGAGGAAAACAGUUUAGGAGAGCAUGAUAUCUAUUUACCAGGUCAGGUGAGGCAAGUGGCUAAGGGUUAGAUAUUUUGUCCCAAUGGCACUUUACGCGCGGACAUAAAUCAGUCGUUUCAGCACCAUGGAUAGCGAACGGAGACUCGCGCAGGUAAUCAUAGAAAUGCGGUCGGAAAUCCGGAAAUUGGAGUUAGAGAACAUGGGGCUGAGAAGAGUUGGAAACAAGUUAAGAAGGAGUACUACCGCCCCUACAUUAGUGGCCGAAUACAAAAAAACAAGACGCCAUGAGUAACUUGGUGAAAA
rnacentral:lncRNA from 1 species